CACACGUUGGCAAGUAUCUGGCCAGCAAGCCGUCAGCAGCCACAGCUUUCACAGGCUCAUAAUUUGUACAAAUACAGAAGGAUCUACGUGAAGGAGUGUGAUCUGGAGAGGCAGUUGUCACCUGGAUGGGGGGAAAAAAAUGGGAGAAUUAUAAGCAAAAAUACACGGAGUUGAAAGCUCCCCCCACCGGAGUCAGCGCAGAGGGAGGGGAGGCCACAGCCGCAUACUGGAAGUGGUAUGCGGUGAUGGAUUAGGUGCGGCAGGAGCUGCAACUCCAUCACCCCACCUGUCAUCUCCUCUCCAUCCCAGAAGGGUCCAGAUGUGGAGGAGGAAGAAAUACCUGUAUGGAGCCAGCACUUGGGAGACUUGAAAGAUGAUGCGAUGGAGUCCAGACUGAUAGACGGCCUUGAAGCUGAUGUCUCUGAAUGGAGAGAGACCUUGCACUCAGCAAUAAAAUGAUACAAG